CCGAGAAUUUUUCACAAUGGGCGCAAGCCUGAUGGAGCGACGCCGCGUGGGGGAUGAAGGGUUUCGAUCCGUAAACCCCUGUCAUUUGCGAACAAACCUUGAUUGUGAAUAGCGAUCGAGCUGAUUGUAGCGGAAGAGGAAGGGACGGCUAACUCUGUGCCAGCAGCCGCGGUAAUACAGAGGUCCCAAGCGUUGUUCGGAUUCACUGGGCGUAAAGGGUGCGUAGGUGGUCGGUGAAGUUCGGUGUGAAAGCUCGGAGCUCAACUCCGAAACGGCGUUGAAAACUCAUCGGCAGGAGGGUCGGAGGGGAGACUGGAAUUCUCGGUGUAGCAGUGAAAUGCGUAGAUAUCGAGAGGAACACCAGUGGCGAAGGCGAGUCUCUGGACGACUCCUGACACUGAGGCACGAAAGCCAGGGGAGCAAACAG
rnacentral:rRNA from 1 species